ACAAUGAAGAGUUUGAUCCUGGCUCAGGAUGAACGCUAGCUACAGGCUUAACACAUGCAAGUCGAGGGGCAUCAGGAAGAAAGCUUGCUUUCUUUGCUGGCGACCGGCGCACGGGUGAGUAACACGUAUCCAACCUGCCGAUAACUCGGGGAUAGCCUUUCGAAAGAAAGAUUAAUACCCGAUAGCAUAAUGAUUCCGCAUGGUUUCAUUAUUAAAGGAUUCCGGUAAAGGAUGGGGAUGCGUUCCAUUAGGUUGUUGGUGAGGUAACGGCUCACCAAGUCUUCGAUGGAUAGGGGUUCUGAGAGGAAGGUCCCCCACAUUGGAACUGAGACACGGUCCAAACUCCUACGGGAGGCAGCAGUGAGGAAUAUUGGUCAAUGGGCGCUAGCCUGAACCAGCCAAGUAGCGUGAAGGAUGAAGGCUCUAUGGGUCGUAAACUUCUUUUAUAUAAGAAUAAAGUGCAGUAUGUAUACUGUUUUGUAUGUAUUAUAUGAAUAAGGAUCGGCUAACUCCGUGCCAGCAGCCGCGGUAAUACGGAGGAUCCGAGCGUUAUCCGGAUUUAUUGGGUUUAAAGGGAGCGUAGGUGGACUGGUAAGUCAGUUGUGAAAGUUUGCGGCUCAACCGUAAAAUUGCAGUUGAUACUGUCAGUCUUGAGUACAGUAGAGGUGGGCGGAAUUCGUGGUGUAGCGGUGAAAUGCUUAGAUAUCACGAAGAACUCCGAUUGCGAAGGCAGCUCACUGGACUGCAACUGACACUGAUGCUCGAAAGUGUGGGUAUCAAACAGGAUUAGAUACCCUGGUAGUCCACACAGUAAACGAUGAAUACUCGCUGUUUGCGAUAUACAGUAAGCGGCCAAGCGAAAGCAUUAAGUAUUCCACCUGGGGAGUACGCCGGCAACGGUGAAACUCAAAGGAAUUGACGGGGGCCCGCACAAGCGGAGGAACAUGUGGUUUAAUUCGAUGAUACGCGAGGAACCUUACCCGGGCUUAAAUUGCAGUGGAAUGAUGUGGAAACAUGUCAGUGAGCAAUCACCGCUGUGAAGGUGCUGCAUGGUUGUCGUCAGCUCGUGCCGUGAGGUGUCGGCUUAAGUGCCAUAACGAGCGCAACCCUUAUCUUUAGUUACUAACAGGUUAUGCUGAGGACUCUAGAGAGACUGCCGUCGUAAGAUGUGAGGAAGGUGGGGAUGACGUCAAAUCAGCACGGCCCUUACGUCCGGGGCUACACACGUGUUACAAUGGGGGGUACAGAAGGCAGCUAGCGGGUGACCGUAUGCUAAUCCCAAAAGCCUCUCUCAGUUCGGAUCGAAGUCUGCAACCCGACUUCGUGAAGCUGGAUUCGCUAGUAAUCGCGCAUCAGCCACGGCGCGGUGAAUACGUUCCCGGGCCUUGUACACACCGCCCGUCAAGCCAUGGGAGCCGGGGGUACCUGAAGUACGUAACCGCAAGGAUCGUCCUAGGGUAAAACUGGUGACUGGGGCUAAGUCGUAACAAGGUAGCCGUACCGGAAGGUGCGGCUGGAACACCUCCUUU
rnacentral:rRNA from 1 species